AGCGAACGCUGGCGGCAGGCUUAACACAUGCAAGUCGAACGCAUCCUUCGGGGUGAGUGGCAGACGGGUGAGUAACACGUGGGAACGUACCCUUCGAUCUGGGAUAACUUCGGGAAACUGGAGCUAAUACCGGAUACGCCCUUUUGGGGAAAGGUUUACUGUCGAAGGAUCGGCCCGCGUCUGAUUAGCUAGUUGGUGGGGUAACGGCCUACCAAGGCGACGAUCAGUAGCUGGUCUGAGAGGAUGAUCAGCCACACUGGGACUGAGACACGGCCCAGACUCCUACGGGAGGCAGCAGUGGGGAAUAUUGGACAAUGGGCGCAAGCCUGAUCCAGCCAUGCCGCGUGAGUGGUGAAGGCCUUAGGGUUGUAAAGCUCUUUUGUCCGGGACGAUAAUGACGGUACCGGAAGAAUAAGCCCCGGCUAACUUCGUG
rnacentral:rRNA from 1 species